AUCGCUUCUCGGCCUUUUGGCUAAGAUCAAAUGUUGUAUCUGUUCUUAUCAGUUUAAUAUCUGAUACGCCCCCUAUCUGGGGGCCAUAUAUUAAAUGGAUUUUUAGAACAGGGAGAUGGAAGAAGAGCUUGCUCUGUCCACUCCACGCAUUGACCUGGUAUUGCAGUACCUCCAGGACCGGUGCACAAAAA
rnacentral:snRNA from 1 species